UCAACAUCACGAUAAAUUGAGGAUUUAACCUCAAUAACGAUAAAUGGACAAUAACUACAGGUAUGGAUUCUUACUUUUUCACCUCAUCUGUUACUUUUGAGCAGAUCAAAGGGCAUUUCGAUGCUGCGUCAGUGAGGUGAAAUCACCGCAGCACACGAUGAGCGGAGCACGUCAGGAACGAUUAAAAGACAGAGUACCAGAGGACAUAAACAGAUAUGAACGAUCAUGUGUUAAUAAUGAUGUUUUGUUGCACCACCUUGAGAAUGUAUUGUGCGCCGGACGUGGCGGGCGCACCAACGAUCAGCGCUCUGUAGAUCUGUCAGAAAGCUCUCACGCCAUCACAGGACUUUCUUAAGUCAUUCACUGCCAUUAACGACUAAAGUCAUCAUUUUAAAUCCAACCGUUCACUGUCAUUGCAUUUUUUUUACUGUGUGGGCAUCGGAACGAGCCCCCGCACCGUGAGAACAAACAUCCCAGCUCCAAAGCCCAUCUUCAUCCGCGUACAUCACAUGCCACGUGACCGGGAAGCAGAAAAUCCGUGUGUUAGAUCGUUUUGGGCUGCUGUAAAAAAAAAAAGUGAGGGGCGGACCGGAAAAGCUUCUGCCGAUCACAAUUUGACAACGGAUUAUGAAAGAACAGAUAUCUCUUGAAACGCGUGGAUUCUUCCUGAUGUAAGAGAAGAACGCUCCGUGACAAACAGACUGUAGGUGUCUGCUGUGCUGCUCUGCUUAUAAAAGGCCAUUAGCCAAGGGCCAGUGAGGUGAGGGAGGUUUCUGACUGACAACGCCAUUCCUCACAGCACUUCCCACCGGAGGGCAUCGCUCCUGACCUUGAGAUGCCAAGCUUGUUGGGCACCCCCGCCUUCUCCUAGAAACACCUUCCUGGCCUUGUCUUUCUGAUGGCCCUCCUUUAGGACCGCAACACACCCCGCGCACGUGUGUGUGUGUGUGUGUGUGUGUGUGUGUGUGUGUGUGUGUGUGUGUGUGUGUGUGUGUGUGUGUGUGUGUGUGUGUGUGUGUGUGUGUGUGUGUGUGUGUGUGUGUGUGUGUGUGAAAUGCAAAUGUCCUAAUCCACUUUUUGAGAGCAGACCUCUGUGUUCUCUACUUUUGUUUUAAAUGUACCUCUGGGUUCGUAUGUAGUUUGUCGUCUCACCUGAUACUACAAUUCACUUUACAUAAAAGUGUCUGCUAACCCAGGGUAAUAAAAUCUAAACGCCCACAGGUAUAGCUGUCUCGUGUCGCUGCAGCUGCACACAGACUGUGAUGAUAAACAGCUGAUCGCUCCCACAGCGACGCAGUGUCAGCUCAGGAACACGGAGCCUCUUGUCUGAACUUUGCACCUUGUUUUUAAUGUGAUGGGGAAAGACAUUAUGCUUUUACUAAUUAAAUAACAUUUAUUUGUUUAGAGUAAGUAUUAGAAGUUUUAAUUUACAAAGUUCACUUUAAAAAGUCUCAUUAAUUAACACUUUAAAUUUAUGGAAGGAAAAGCAUUCAUUAUUGAAAUCUAAAGGCUUUAAAAUGACUGACAUUAGAUGUAAAACCUUAUUUAGGUUUCCAUAGACGUGUCCUUCUCAAAGCAAAAAAAAAAAAUGAAAUGAUUAAAGACUAAGUAAAUGACUUAUGUUUGCCACACUGAUUUGUGUUAGUUGUGUUGUGUUGUCAGUUACUGACUGUACUGAAAACAAAUACCAUCAGUUUGGCUGCGCAGUCAGUAAAAAAUGAUUAUAGAAAAAUGCAUUCAUCAGUGUAACCCUUCAUCCUCAGCACCAAAUCAAAACAACUAAACAUUUGAACUCAUUUGAAGCAGUGGUGAAUAUACAGAAUCCAAAUGAAUAAUAAUAGUGAGUGGAUCACAUUCAUAUUUCUUUACAUGUAUAGAUUAGUGAGUUCAUGUUUCUAAAAGGUACAGACUAAACCAGGAGUGUCA